CACGUAGGAUGCGAGCGUUAUCCGGAUUUAUUGGGCGUAAAGCGCGUGUAGGCGGUUCGGAAAGUUGGAUGUGAAAGCUCCUGGCUUAACUGGGAGAGGUCGUUCAAUACUACCGAACUAGAGGAUGAGAGAGGAAGAUGGAAUUCCGAGUGUAGUGGUGAAAUGCGUAGAUAUUCGGAGGAACACCAGUGGCGAAAGCGAUCUUCUGGCUCAUAACUGACGCUCAGACGCGAAAGCUAGGGUAGCAAACGGG
rnacentral:rRNA from 1 species